CUUCAGCUGACAAGUUCGAAAUAGGACGAAAUGCGCGUCCUGGAU
rfam:Schistosoma haematobium scaffold633_11, whole genome shotgun sequence.